UACGUAGGGUGCAAGCGUUGUCCGGAAUUAUUGGGCGUAAAGAGCUCGUAGGCGGCCUGUCGCGUCGGCUGUGAAAUCCCGAGGCUCAACCUCGGGUCUGCAGUCGAUACGGGCAAACUAGAGUAUUGCAGGGGAGACUGGAAUUCCUGGUGUAGCGGUGAAAUGCGCAGAUAUCAGGAGGAACACCGAUGGCGAAGGCAGGUCUCUGGGCCGAUACUGACGCUGAGGAGCGAAAGCGUGGGGAGCGAACAGG
rnacentral:rRNA from 1 species